GGAAUGCAGCCCCAGGAGCAAUAACAUGGCAGAUAAAGGGACAGGAGCGAAGUCCUGAGCAAAGAGUCCCAGCAAACAGCAGCAGUGUGGACAAAAAGCAUCAGAGAAGAAGAGCAAACCAUCAUCCUGACUGAUUGGAUGAAUGACACUGUGUUUCCAACAAGCUGCAAAGUCACUGUGCUUGUGAAAAGGACGUUUGAGGAGAACUGAGGAGACUGUUGGAGUUUGACAUUUGCCACCUUUGGAGUAAAAUGGCAAGAAGAGACAGUGGAACACAGGACAAAGCUGAAGAAGAACUGCUGGCUAUUGGACUGUUGAAGUGGGAGAGGACAACAGAGUGAGAGCAGGAGCAAGGAAAUACAGGUGCAGCAGUCAGAGUAUUGCUGAAAGGAAUCUCUUAAGAAAUCUUCUGAGGCCCAGUGAGAAGCAACCCAUUCCAGGCAUAGCUGACAGUCCAGGCAGUGGUUGAGGUCAAAGGUCGAGCUGUUUGGGGCCCAUCAUGAGAUCAGACUUUGGAGCCACAGCAAGGACCACAAUGCUGCGAAGGAUGAGAGCUGUGCCAAGGGGGAUUUCCAGAGGCCAACAGAGGAGAUUGUGGAUAACAGACGGGCACCUGAAGGAUGAGGGGAGUGUGCCGAGCUCCAUCGACAGCGCAGGGGGAGUUCGAGGAUGGCAUCAUGAUUCUGUGAAAAGCACAGGAACCAGAAGCUAUGGUGGUGAUGACAGCAGUUUCCUAUGAACAUCACCUAAUGCUGUGUCACUGUACUGUGCAUACGAUGGCACACUGAAGACUGCUGGGAUCAUAACAGCAGUAAGAUAACUGGAUCCAGCACCCUUUCCACAGAGGGUUUUUCCUGCAGAGGAUGGACAAUGGAGGAGUCAUAUGUAUCCCCCACAGGACAAGGAGGCCUGAAGUGAGGUGAUGGGGGUUGGUAGAGGCCAUAAAACUCAAGUGUUGACAAGGCCUGCAGCUUUGAAGAUAGCUGAGACCCAUGUUGACAAACAACAAAACUCAACUGGUAUGUUUGAAUGUCUAUUCUACAUACAUUUGGACUCUGGUCCUAUGGACAGUGAUGGGAACAUCUGGAAGAGACAAUUAUGACGCCCUAUAGAGCUUAAACCACUCUACAGCGAGACAUGCUAUUUACAUGUCUUGCGGAGGAGCACAACCAAGCUGGAGUGUUUUUGAAGUGUUGCUUUCUUAUUUUAACUAUUAAAGUAACAAUUCAUUUGUUUGCUUAUGUAUAGGAUGCAUUUUGCCGUGUAUAAGAUCAAUGCUAACUAAAAUGAUUUCUGAUACAUUUGUUAAUUGUGUACUUUUACAACAAUAUGAAAUGACUGAAAUGAAUGACAUGACAGAGGCCUGUGUAUGAAUGACGCCUGCACUGGAAAUGUUAAGCAAGAGGUGCAUGGCUGAGAAUAUACUACAUAGGAAUAAUUUGGAGCAUAAAAUUACAAAAACAGGAGGGAAAUGUUAG
ensembl:lncRNA